AUGUCGGACUCGGAGCUGUCCCGGAGCACGGUGGUGUUCGGGCUCCGCUUGUGGGUGCUCCUCGCCAUCGCCGUCGGCGCCGCCUCCGUGCUGCUCCUUGUCCUCCUCUCCGUCCUCUGCUUCCUCGGUUCACGGCGGCGCCGGCCAACCACCCCCGCCCACCACCUCCCCACGUCCGCGCCUCCGAGCAAGGAUGCCAGGAAGGUCAACGCGCCCGAGGGCAUCCAAGAAGCCCCCUCCCACGCCGCCGCCGCCGCCGCCGCGAAGAUGCCGCUGGCGCGGGUGCUCCAGUCCCCCAUAACGCCGCCGCCGUCGGUCAAGGAGCAGCGCAUGACGUACCCGGAGCAGCCCCCGCAGCACAGCCACCGGAGCAGCGGGAUGCCGUCGUCGCAGGGCAGCACCUGCGAGAGCGGGGAAGGCGCGGCCCCGGCGCACCACGCGCCCAAGGCGGCGCCGGAGGUGUCCCGCCUCGGGUGGGGCCACUGGUACACGCUCGAGGAGCUGGAGGCGGCGACGGAGAUGUUCGCCGACGAGAACGUGAUCGGCGAGGGCGGGUACGGGAUCGUGUACCACGGCGUGCUCGAGGACGGCACGCAGGUCGGCGUCAAGAACUUGCUUAACAACAGGGGGCAGGCGGAGAAAGAAUUCAAGGUUGAGGUCGAAGCAAUUGGCCGUGUUCGGCACAAGAACCUUGUGCGCCUUCUAGGAUAUUGUGCCGAGAGGAAUCAGAGGAUGCUUGUGUACGAGUAUGUUGAUAACGGCAACUUGGAACAAUGGCUCCAUGGGGAUGUUGGACCUGUAAGCCCCCUUACAUGGGAAGAUAGGAUGAAGAUCAUACUAGGGACAGCAAAAGGGUUAAUGUAUUUGCAUGAGGGGCUUGAGCCGAAGGUGGUUCACCGGGACGUCAAGGCAAGCAACAUCCUUCUUGAUAAGCACUGGAAUGCUAAGCUCUCAGAUUUCGGACUUGCGAAACUCUUAGGCCCAGAGCGAAGUUACGUAACUACACGAGUUAUGGGAACUUUCGGGUAUGUUGCUCCAGAGUAUGCGGGGACUGGGAUGUUAAAUGAAACAAGCGAUGUAUAUAGUUUUGGGAUCCUUGUCAUGGAAAUAAUAUCUGGUAGAGUACCAGUGGAUUAUAACAGGCCACCUGGAGAGGCAAAUUUAGUUGAUUGGCUAAAGACAAUGGUGAGCACCCGAAACUCUGAGGGGGUUGUGGAUCCAAAGAUGCCCCAGAAGCCUGCCUCUAGAGCAGUGAAGAAAGCUUUGCUCGUGGCGUUGCGAUGUGUGGACCCUGAUGCUUCCAAGAGGCCAAAGAUUGGGCAGAUCAUUCACAUGCUUGAAGUUGAGGAUUUCCCCUACAACAGAGAUGAACGUCGAGGCGGUAGAGCUCCAACGAAGGCAAGGUUGCCCGGGAAACCGACUAACGGAAUAGAUGAUGGCGAAAUUGAUAACAUUGGGGACCAUGACCAACCUUUCAGAUGGAAAAAUACAAUGGCCUAG
rnacentral:rRNA from 1 species